AGUAAAGUAACAUCCGUACCAGCAACUUUAUUUCUCUGGGUGACAGCCGCAUGAUAUCAAGCUGACAGCCUCGGUUAAUGUCGGCUGAGUGUGACAGCCAUCACAGACCUGCAUCCACGACACAUGAAAAGGCUUUGUGUCGAGAAGAAGGCCCUCUACUGAGACAGAAGAGGACAUGUUGUUCUCAGUUAGAAACAGGCAUUCAGAGACAGAGACAGAGUGUAUGUGUGUGUGUGCGUGUGUGUGUCCUUACAGCGACAGGACAGGGAGUGCUGAUUUACACAUAGCCAACCCAAACACAGAUGCCCCGGUCCUUCCUUCCUUCCUGUGGGCAACAGAAGGAGACACAAUGUGUUCAAGAGGCCGGAGCUGACAAAGGGAUUAUCCAGUGACAACAAAUGCUGCAAUCUCUGGCAUAAGACGAGGCAGAAAAAUACAUAUCAUAUGGCAGCGACGGCACAGAAGCGGGCAGAAAUGAAGGGAAGAAACUGCAAAAGAAAAAGAUGAACUCGUCUUGCUCUCUGAUGUCUCCAUGGGGAAUGGAACGAUGGCAGAGACGCAUGCCGAGGCCACUCCUUUCAUCCGAGCCACAGAGAGAGAAGCAUUGGCACUGUUGACGGAGAAAGAAAAGUGACAUUUUCGGCACUGUGAUAGCUCGCAUCUCCAAAUUGAUGCCUUGUCUGACAUAGUCAGAAGGAGGUGUAAUGAAUGUGCUUUGGGGACAAGAAAUGCAUGCCUCUCGGACAUGGUGAGAUCCUAGGCUGUGGGGGCAUUGUUACCGCUUUGCGUUUUAAAGUGCAGAAGACCAGCUGGUUUGUGUUAUUCAAAUGCAGAGGAGUUGGAGAAAAUGUGCGUUCAUCCACUGCGGCGGGGGAUAAUAGUUUGGACAAGAGCAUCCAUUUCUGAAACCGCUCUUUAUGCUAUUUCUGUCACUCACAAUACACUGCGACGCGUUUUCCACGCUGACACUGUUUGAAAUGUUCCCUUUAUAUACAGCUGAGUUCUGGACAAAAGAUUUAAAUGAUUGUCAUUUUCCCCGGCAUUCACAGUCAGUCAUCAUUUGCUCUUUAUGUGGAAUCUUCCACUGACUGUAUGUGUGGCAUACAAACAGGCUCAUGGGAGGUCAUGGGAGUGCUGAGCUGACAGUCAAGGCACCAGCUGUCACUCACAGCCCCAUCACCAGCCGCGUCGCACUGAAUCUUCUGACGGCCACAUGACUACAAUGGCGUAUUUCUGCUUCUUUUUUUCUGACAUGUAUGUAUCCGCUCGUUGGAUUGGCAUCACGGGGAAAAAAAAAAAUCCUUUAUCAAGACCCAGAUGUUCUCUGUAAUCAUCCUGGUUGUGCCAUCAUGGAAACCACUCACAAACAUGCAUUCAUGUGUUUUAUUUCAUGGUUCCCGGCCGUCCCACUAGUUUUAUAUGUUAAAUAUUCACAGUUUGUCCAAUAUUUCAGUACAUUUCAACUCGAUACUCAUCCAACCAAAAGAAAUCAACGCACAAUAAAGGACAUUUCACUGAAAAA